GGCCCGCCAUGUUCUUCUCCGCGGCGCUCCGGGCCCGGGCGGCUGGCCUCACCGCCCACUGGAUUCCGAAGAGGCUCAAUCUGUAAAUCCUUCUAGUGUUGAUGAAAAUAUUGACUCUGAAACAGAGAAAGACUCUCUCAUCUGUGAAAGUAAACAGAUACUUCCCAGUAAAACACCUCUUCCAUCUGCCCUUGAUGA
ensembl:lncRNA novel transcript